rnacentral:tRNA from 7 species
CGGGCUAUAGCGCAGUCUGGUAGCGCGUUCGACUGGGGGUCGAAAGGUCGUGAGUUCGAAUCUCGCUAGCCCGACCA